rnacentral:rRNA from 1 species
AUUGAACGCUGGCGGCAGGCCUAACACAUGCAAGUCGAACGGUAACAGGAAGACGCUUGCUUCUUUGCUGACGAGUGGCGGACGGGUGAGUAAUGUCUGGGAAACUGCCUGAUGGAGGGGGAUAACUACUGGAAACGGUAGCUAAUACCGCAUAACGUCGCAAGACCAAAGAGGGGGACCUUCGGGCCUCUUGCCAUCGGAUGUGCCCAGAUGGGAUUAGCUAGUAGGUGGGGUAACGGCUCACCUAGGCGACGAUCCCUAGCUGGUCUGAGAGGAUGACCGGCCACACUGGAACUGAGACACGGUCCAGACUCCUACGGGAGGCAGCAGUGGGGAAUAUUGCACAAUGGGCGAAAGCCUGAUGCAGCCAUGCCGCGUGUAUGAAGAAGGCCUUCGGGUUGUAAAGUACUUUCAGCGGGGAGGAAGGGAGUAAAGUUAAUACCUUGGCACAUUGACGUUACCUGCAGAAGAAGCACCGGCUAACUACGUG